rfam:Lucilia cuprina strain LS Scaffold285, whole genome shotgun sequence.
AUUUAAAUGAUGAGCAAUUAACUUUCGCCCCUAUCUGAAAAAAACUUCUCAUGUUGAAUGCGAAUGAUUGGUCUUACUGAAAAAAUUAA